GCUCAGGUGGCGCAAUGGUCAGUGCAUCUGGUUGUUAACCAGAAGGUUGGUGGUUCAAGGCCCCCCAGGGAUGGCUGUGGGCA